rnacentral:sRNA from 1 species
GCCACUUAUUCCAUCAAAAUUGAGGGGAAACCAUACACUUUCCUGCUUGAAAAACAGGUCAUUGCUUUUACCAAGGAUAUGCUGCAGACAUUCCAAAAUCAGUUGUGGCACUACGCACCUGUUCUGGACUCAGAGACAGGAUUUCACCAUGUUGGCCAGGCUAGUCUCAAACUUCUGACCUCAGGUUAUCUACCUGCCUCAGCCUCUCAAAGUGCUGGGAUUAGAAACGCCCUGGUGUGUGAUGUUCACCAUUAUUCUGAGCAAACUAUCGCAAGGACAGAAAACUAAACACCACAUGUUCUCACUCAUAGGUGGGAAUUGAACAAUGAGAACACUUGGACAUAGGAUAAAUACACAUUUCUUAUUAACUUAUGAGAUAUUGUAUUGUAUAUUCCUCACACUGUUUUUCUGGUUCUUAGUUGUCUUGGGUAUUUUGGGCCCUUUGAAUUUUAUUGUAAAUUUCUGACUUUUUUUCAAUUGGUACCAAAAAUAGAGUAGACUCAUCUCCUGAAU